rnacentral:rRNA from 1 species
GACGAACGCUGGCGGCGUGCCUAAUACAUGCAAGUAGAACGCUGACGCUUGGUGCUUGCCCCGAGCGGAUGAGUUGCGUACGGGUGAGUAACGCGUAGGUAACCUGCCUGGUAGCGGGGGAUAACUAAUGGAAACGAUAGCCAAUACCUCAUAAGAGUAAAUCUUGCAUGACAUUUGCUUAAAAGGUGCAAUUGCAUCACUACCAGAUGGACCUGCGGUGUAUUAGCUAGGUGGUGAGGUAACGGCUCACCAAGGCAACGAUACAGAGGCGACCUGAAAGGGAGGUCGACCCACACGGGAACGGGGCCCGGCCCAGGACCCUACGGGGAGGAGGAGGAGGGGAACUUUGGAAAUGGACGGAAGGCUGACCGCGGCAAGCCGGGGGAGAGAAGAAGGGUUUCGGAUUGGAAAGCUCCGUUGUAAGAGAAGAAAGAGUGUGAGAGUAGAAAGUUCACACUGUGACGGUACCUUAACAGAAAGAGACGGCUAACUACGUG